AACUAGGAAGGUCAGAAGGCCCCUCCCCACACCUCAGAAGCCAGCACGGUCCCACAUUCUGUAGCCCUGGCAGGAUACCACAGACCCAGUAUCAAGUUCUCUCUACAUGUUAAUGCACCGUACCUCACACAGUAAUUGUCUAUUAGUCGCCUUUCCAGUUCUGUGACAAACUAUAUGAGCAGGACUUCGGAGGAUGGCAUGGUGCCCCACCCACGUUCAGGGUAGGUCUUUCUUCCUCAGCUAAAUCUCUGGACUCAUCCUUCGAGGUACAUACACAGGCUGUAAGUUCUCAGCUACAGUUCUGGUGGAUCCCUGCUAUGAUAAUCAUGGACUCACCCACUGAAACUAUGUUGACCACAGAAUCAGCGAUACAGCCUUAAAUCAGCCACAUGAAAUUCCUUACCCAGCCAUGUCUUCAUUUGGAAUAUCCAGAAGCAGAUCCAGAGCUCAACUCUGACACACGACUUCAUAUCUUAACAAGCACAGAGAGUACUUGGCCUUUGGGCCAGUCAUCUGACACUAUGUGACCCAGGAUCCCUCGACCACAUGACUGGCUUGCAAAUCUUCCACCAGACCAGACAGGACUGAAACUCUCACUGCAGCCUAAACCUCAUCCAAUGCAAUCUUUUCUCCCUUUCUCUUUCCCAGGGGUCAGACCAGAAACCAUGCUUGAAGACUCUGGUUGCUUACUCUAGCAGCUUCCUGCGGUGCCAGAAUAUUUUCCUUACAUGAGUGAUAAAGCCUCAGUAUUUUCUUCUUGGAAGACACAAAGUAACACAGAAAGGGAUUCAAGGGAGGACAGUGGGUGAGUGGGGAGAAGGAAAGGAAAAGGGGCUAGUGGUGCUGGUAAACCUGGAAAACUUUAUAGAGAGGUUCAGGUCACUGUCAGAACAGGAAGGAGCACAAGACCUGGAGUACUUACCUAAACCUCCUGUCCCUGGCAGGGUGAGGGUGACUCUAGGGGCAGUGACCAAUUCCAGGCGAGACACUGAGACUAGAUUAGGCAGUCCAACCUGAGUGUAAAAUCUUUUUCCUUAAUCCACACCCUCCACACUUAUUACAACAUGUGAAAGCUUAAGUUUGAAGUCAGCCUCAUACUCAUAAAUGACUACUCCCUUGUCUCAAUUUGAAAAUCCCAUCUCUUACUACAAUAUUCUAU